rnacentral:rRNA from 1 species
CGGGGGGAGCAAGCGUUGUUCGGAUUUACUGGGCGUAAAGGGCGCGUAGGCGGCCACCGCAAGUCGGUUGUGAAAUCUCCGGGCUUAACCCGGAAAGGUCAACCGAUACUGCGGGGCUAGAGUGCAGAAGGGGCAACUGGAAUUCUCGGUGUAGCGGUGAAAUGCGUAGAUAUCGAGAGGAACACCUGCGGCGAAGGCGGGUUGCUGGGCUGACACUGACGCUGAGGCGCGAAAGCUAGGGGAGCGAACGGGAUUAGAUACCCCGGUAGUCCUAGCCUUAAACGAUGGAUGCUUGGUGUCUGGGGUUUUAUAGUCCCCGGGUGCCGUCGCUAACGCUUUAAGCAUCCCGCCUGGGGAGUACGGUCGCAAGACUG